rnacentral:rRNA from 1 species
CCUACGGGGGGCAGCAGUGGGGAAUAUUGGACAAUGGGGGGAACCCUGAUCCAGCCAUGCCGCGUGUGUGAAGAAGGCCCUCGGGUUGUAAAGCACUUUCAGUGAGGAAGAACGCCUGGUGGUUAAUACCCAUCAGGAAAGACAUCACUCACAGAAGAAGCACCGGCUAACUCCGUGCCAGCAGCCGCAGUAAUACGGAGGGUGCGAGCGUUAAUCGGAAUUACUGGGCGUAAAGCGCGCGUAGGUGGCUUGAUAAGCCGGUUGUGAAAGCCCCGGGCUCAACCUGGGAACGGCAUCCGGAACUGUCAAGCUAGAGUGCAGGAGAGGAAGGUAGAAUUCCCGGUGUAGCGGUGAAAUGCGUAGAGAUCGGGAGGAAUACCAGUGGCGAAGGCGGCCUUCUGGACUGACACUGACACUGAGGUGCGAAAGCGUGGGUAGCAAACAGGAUUAGAUACCCGAGUAGUC